GUGAAUCAUCGAAUUUUUGAACGCAAAUGGCACUCUCUGGUAUUCCAAGGAGUAUGCCUGUUUGAUGGUCGGUAGAAUAAAAAAGCGAGGCGUCGCUCUUUUUUUUAAGGGUGAGCGUGUCGGAAUUGAGCCGUCUUUCAAAGGGUGAUUCAUGUCCAAGUAGCUUAAAAUUAAUCGAUCCGGUACGAUUAUAGCUUAUUGAAGAGCAAUUUUAAUCAAUGAGGCGUGAUUAGGUC
rnacentral:misc_RNA from 1 species